CCUACGGGCGGCAGCAGUGGGGGAUAUUGCACAAUGGGGGAAACCCUGAUGCAGCAACGCCGCGUGUGGGAAGAAGGUUUUCGGAUUGUAAACCACUGUUCUUGGUGAAGAUAAUGACGGUAACCAAGGAGAAAGCUCCGGCUAACUACGUGCCAGCAGCCGCGGUAAUACGUAGGGAGCAAGCGUUGUCCGGAUUUAUUGGGUUUAAAGGGUGCGCAGGCGGAAGAUCAAGUCAGCGGUAAAAUUGAGAGGCUCAACCUCUUCGAGCCGUUGAAACUGGUUUUCUUGAGUGAGUGAGAAGUAUGCGGAAUGCGUGGUGUAGCGGUGAAAUGCAUAGAUAUCACGCAGAACUCCGAUUGCGAAGGCAGCAUACCGGCGCUCAACUGACGCUCAUGCACGAAAGUGUGGGUAUCGAACAGGAUUAGAUACCCCUGUAGUC
rnacentral:rRNA from 1 species